CAUCAGAGUGGCCUGGAAAGGAAAGGGGUCAAUGGGACAUGUAGAAGGAAGGAUGCUAGUCACACAUUGUGGGGGAAGGGACCAGUGGAAAGAACUGAGAGGCCAGGGGAGAAACUUGGGAUGAAUUUGAACUCCACAGAAGGUCUGCUUGACGCCUGCUUUGGAAUUCUUUUCCCUAGAUGAGGUGGAUAAAGCUCAGAUCCCUGCUCAUCUUCCCAUAGGGUCGGCCUGGUCAGACUGAGGUUUCCGUGCCUACUGACAGAGGUGGUGUUUCAUUUGUUAGUGAAGACAUAGAAGGGUUAAAUCACCUUCUCUACUUAUUUUACCUGAAUUCCAGUUAUCGGUCCUGUGUGGGGACUCUGAUUGCCCCUCAGUGGGUGUUGACGGCUGCACACUGCUUCUUACCAGAUCUUUGGGUCAUCUUUCAUGAUAGUUCUGCAAAUCUUCGAGACUUUCAUGGGGAGAUUUUACCUUAUGAGAAGAUCAUUGUUCACCCAAACUUCACUGCCACCUCUCCUAAAAAUGACCUCAUGCUGAUAAAGUUGUCUGUACCUUUCACUUUCUUCUCCACCAAUAUGUUUCAGUUGCCUACUCUCAAGAAUGCAGUUAAAGAUUGCUUGAUUCACACCUGGUUACAG